CCUACGGGUGGCUGCAGUGGGGAAUAUUGGGCAAUGGGCGCAAGCCUGACCCAGCAACGCCGCGUGCAGGAAGACGGCUUUCUGGUUUUAAACUUCUUUUAUCAGGGACGAAACAAGUGACGGUCCCUGAUGACUGCGCCACUGCUACCUACGUGCCAGCAGCCGCUGUGAUACGUAGGUGGCAAGCGUUCUCCGGAUUUACUGGGUGUACAGGGCGUGUAGGCGGGAGGGCAAGUCAGAUGUGAAAACUAUGGGCUCAACCCAUAGCCUGCAUUUGAUACUGUACUUCUUGAGUGCUGGAGAGGCAAUCGGAAUUGCGUGUGUAGCGGUGAAAUGCGUAGAUAUA
rnacentral:rRNA from 1 species